rnacentral:lncRNA from 1 species
AGGGACUGGGUCACAGAGAAGAUACUGCAUGACAGACCGACCAGCAUUCACCUGGCGUGGUAUCUAUUCUGUGUGCUUUGUUAUUUAGCUACUUUGAGGUCUUGUGUUUGACUAAAAUCAUGCCCAAAGUCUCAACAGAAGCCUCAUUGUGUAGGAAACCCACGUCCACUACAUAAAUUUCAAAUUUGCAAAGAACACCAGCAUGUCAGUCAGAUAUGCACUCAAAGUAUGCUCCUAGAUUGAACGAGGUUUUUUUUUUUCUUGUCUUUCUCUCUCCAUUCCCCUCCGCCUCCCCAGACCAACUGAAGUGAGAUAAACAGACCACAGUAGCUGGUUUUCUCCACAUCGUAUGAGGAAGAUGAAAACAUGAACAGUGGGAAGCUGGCAAAUCUCUGAGAACUUUUGGGGCAGCUGGGAAUUAAUGGACAGGACGUUGCUUUUUAGCUUGAAGAGGAAGAAAGCAGCCUUGGUAAAUGCGUGGCGUUGCUAGGCAACCCCAAGCUACCCCCAGCACAAGUUCAUUCUGCUGGUGGCCUUCCGAGGAGAUUUCCUUGGAGGGAGCGAGUACUCUGAGAUGGAGAUGUGGGUUUUCCUUAUUGUGGAUUAAUCAAUGGCCAUCUUGGAUUUUUGGAAAAGACCCCAAUGCUCCAAUGCUGGGAGAGAUUGAAGGCAGGAGGAGAAGAGAUAUCACCAUGGUAUCACCAUCACAAUGGACAUGAAUUUGAGCAAACUCCCAGAGAUGGUGAAGGACAGGGAAGCCUGGCAUGCUGCAGUUUAUGGAGUCACAAAGAGUUGGACACGACUUAGUGACUGAACAACAACAAUCUUGCAUUUGCAGGUGGUUUAGGGCAGUGUGAGGGUGUCAGUCUGGAGCCUGACCCACCCUGUUGUAAUGAGAAGCUGAUGGUGCGCCAGGAGGAUCCUGCCUGUGAAGCCGCAUGUGACGACCUGCCUGAGUGACUUGGUGGUCCCCAGUCAACAGUGAUGCCCUUGGAGUCUUGUUCUAUCUUUCGCUCUUGAUGAGUUUAGCGUGUAGGACUCACAGAGUGAAAGGACUUCUACGGGAGGAAUCCCAGUCUAACAUCAACAAACACAGAAGGAUACAGUGUGCCAACUUCUGGAAUACAUUCAUGAGUUUUCUUUCAUUCAUUUGGUCAGUAUAUGUUGUGGUGGUGGUGGUGUAGUCUCGAAGCCAUGUCCAACUCUUCGUGAUCCCUCGGACUGUAGCCCACCAGGUUUCUCUGUCCAUGGAAUUCCCCAGGCAAGAAUACUAGUGGGCUGCCAUUUCCUUCUCCAGGGAUCAAACCUGCAUCUCCUGCACUGGAGGCAGAUUCUUU